rnacentral:rRNA from 1 species
GUAGGUGGCAAGCGUUGUCCGGAAUUAUUGGGCGUAAAGCGCGCGCAGGCGGUUCUUUAAGUCUGAUGUGAAAGCCCACGGCUCAACCGUGGAGGGUCAUUGGAAACUGGAGAACUUGAGUACAGAAGAGGAAAGCGGAAUUCCACGUGUAGCGGUGAAAUGCGUAGAGAUGUGGAGGAACACCAGUGGCGAAGGCGGCUUUCUGGUCUGUAACUGACGCUGAGGCGCGAAAGCGUGGGGAGCAAACAGGAUUAGAUACCCUGGUAGUCCACGCCGUAAACGAUGAGUGCUAAGUGUUAGGGGGGUUUCCGCCCCCCUUAGUGCUGCAGCUAACGCAUUAAGCACUCCGCCUGGGAGUGUGGCCGCAAGGCUG